CCACCACUAAGCCAGUGGUGAACUCCACAUACGCAUCCUUUGCUGAGGAUACGGUUAACGGAGCGAAAGCGACGUUCAACCUCAAAAGAAGCAGAGGGGGCUUAGUGGUGGGGUGACUGCGUACCUUUUGUAUAAUGGGUCAGCGACUUAUAUUCUGUAGCAAGGUUAACCGAAUAGGGGAGCCGGAGGGAAACCGAGUCUUAACCGGGCGUUAAGUUGCAGGGUAUAGACCCGAAACCCGGUGAUCUAGCCAUGGGCAGGUUGAAGGUUGGGUAACACUAACUGGAGGACCGAACCGACUAAUGUUGAAAAAUUAGCGGAUGACCUGUGGCUGGGGGUGAAAGGCCAAUCAAACCGGGAGAUAGCUGGUUCUCCCCGAAAGCUAUUUAGGUAGCGCCUCGUGAAUUCAUCUCCGGGGGUAGAGCACUGUUUCGGCUAGGGGGUCAUCCCGACUUACCAACCCGAUGCAAACUGCGAAUACCGGAGAAUGUUAUCACGGGAGACACACGGCGGGUGCUAACGUCCGUCGUGAAGAGGGAAACAACCCAGACCGCCAGCUAAGGUCCCAAAGUCAUGGUUAAGUGGGAAACGAUGUGGGAAGGCCCAGACAGCCAGGAUGUUGGCUUAGAAGCAGCCAUCAUUUAAAGAAAGCGUAAUAGCUCACUGGUCGAGUCGGCCUGCGCGGAAGAUGUAACGGGGCUAAACCAUGCACCGAAGCUGCGGCAGCGAACGUAUCACCCAAGACAACUUUACGGAGUUGACGAUUGAUGGAGCGAAGCGACGUCAAAGCGUUCAUUAAAGUCGAGUUGGCUUAGGGAUACGUUCGUUGGGUAGGGGAGCGUUCUGUAAGCCUGUGAAGGUGGCCUGUGAGGG
rnacentral:rRNA from 1 species